rnacentral:rRNA from 1 species
UACGUAGGUGGCAAGCGUUGUCCGGAAUUAUUGGGCGUAAAGCGCGCGCAGGCGGUCCUUUAAGUCUGAUGUGAAAGCCCACGGCUCAACCGUGGAGGGUCAUUGGAAACUGGGGGACUUGAGUACAGAAGAGAAGAGUGGAAUUCCACGUGUAGCGGUGAAAUGCGUAGAGAUGUGGAGGAACACCAGUGGCGAAGGCGACUCUUUGGUCUGUAACUGACGCUGAGGCGCGAAAGCGUGGGGAUCAAACAGG